rnacentral:rRNA from 1 species
AACGAACGCUGGCGGCAUGCCUAACACAUGCAAGUCGAACGAGAUCUUCGGGUCUAUUGGUGCACGGGUGCGUAACGCGUGAGAAUCUGCCCUUUGGUUCGGAAUAACAGUUGGAAACGACUGCUAAUACCGGAUGAUGACGAAAGUCCAAAGAUUUAUUGCCAGAGGAUGAGCCCGCGUAGGAAUAGCUAGUUGGUGUGGGAAAGGUGCACCAAGGCGACGAUCCUUAGCUGGUUUGAGAUGAUGAACAGCCAAACUGGGACUGAGACACGGCCUAGAGUCGUACGGGAGGGAGCAGUGGGGAAUAUUGGACAAUGGGCGAAAGCCAAAACCCGCGAUGCCGAGUUAGUGAUGAAGGCCUUAGGGCUAUAAAGCUCUUUUAGCCGGUUUGAUAAUGACAGUACUGGGAGAAUAAGCUCCGGCUAACUCCGUGCCAGCAGCCGCCGCAG